rnacentral:rRNA from 1 species
CACACCGCCCGUCGCAGCACGCGAGAUGGCCAAGUGAGAGGCUUAAACUUGUGUUUAUGUCAAUCAUAGGGUCAUUGAGUGGGCUG